GCAGCCACACCUGACCCCUCCCUGACCGAAAUCAGCUUUAAAACGACAGGAAAACAUGAAAUAACCCAUAAAUCAAGCAACGGCACCUGUCUCUAAACAGCCCGACACAUUUACAUAUUACAUUUAUUUAAAAGAAACAAACCCAGAGGCUAUGUUACAAGUUGAUGCUUCAACGUUUACAGAAGUGUUUUAAGCCGUAUUAUCUGUACUUCUACUUAAGUAAGAAAUGUGAAAACCUUUGAUACCUCUUUUGAUUUAGAACCCAAACCUGCUUAAACCUUCUCCAGAACGUCCUCCCUGACCCGCCUGCUCUAUUAAUUGGUCUUCGUGAUGUUGUUUUACUCAAUAACGAUCUCCGACAAACCUCUAAGACCUUCUCACAACACCUAUAUUUAUACUGCACUCAGAGUCGGCCAUGGUUCACUUUAUGUUGUUUUUAAUUAGCUAAUUAGUUCGUUUAUUUAUUCGCCAGAUUCAAUCACCAGCUAAGAUUCUAGUAGUAGUAGUAAUAAUAAUAAUAAUCAUAAUAAUACAUUACCUCAGCCCGACAGAAAGAUGAAAAUAAACUUCUCUUGAAAUAGAAACAGUAUAUUGGCAAUAUCAACAUCCUACAGAGAUCCAGCCUCAGUCUCCAUAUGUUUUAUUCAUAGUUUUAACCUUCAUAAAAUGUAAUUUGGCUACCGGUUCGGACCACACCCUUAACGCGGUCUGAAAAAAGAAAUAAAUAAAUAAUAAUAAAUCGUAUCAAUUGGUCUCUUCGCGCAGUCGUCACUCCGCAUCGUCCCGCCUCCCCCUUGUCUCCUUCGGGCAGCAGACGUAUAUAAACACGGCUGAUCCAUCUUCCUCCAGCUUACCCAGUAACAUCACGAUAACCAUUACGUGGAGCUCAGAUGGGAGGGCUCAGAUCGUGGCCGAUUUCUGCGAGAAAGCGAGGCUGUAGGGGAGGGAAAAAAAGCGCAAACAGUAAAACAGCUCAGGCCUCGGAUGCUCGUCGGAAUAUCUGAAAGCACAGACUCAAAACACAAGGAUGUGGAUGCAGUCGAGGCUUGGAUGAAGCAUUGGUGAUGCUGAGUGGAAGACUAGUGAUUUUGUUGUGACGCUCAUCAAAGAACAACAAGUCCCAGUCUACCUCUCAGCACAAGCAAGUGCCCUUCAGUAUGCACCACCUUUGCACCCCUGCAUGCACAGAUGCUGCUGACGUUAAUGACAAGAUUUCCAGUUUGUUCACCAGCAACCUGCCCUUUAAAAUCCCCCUAAAACGUUCUGAUUCAGUCCCUGCGCGAACCAGCAUUCAGUGAUGUUAAUUACCGGCAAAAUUGCAAUCAAAAAGCAUAAUUUAGGCAUGGUACUGAAUCGUGCGGUGAAAGCUGCUCAGGGAAAAACUGUAAUUAUGUCAUAAAGUGCCUUGUAAAAAAAAAAAAAAAGCAGGGAAACAGCUUUGUGUAAUUGUAUUCCCCCUAUUUCCAGAGUGCAUACCUUUAUAAUACAUUGUUCCUGAAAAUGUUCAUUGAUCAUCAAUUUAACUGCCUUGAAACCUACAUUUGCUGUUCAUUAUAAUGCAAAAUAAAGCCUUUAAAGUCUCA